UACAGAGGGUGCAAGCGUUGUUCGGAAUUAUUGGGCGUAAAGCGCGUGUAGGCGGCUUUGCAAGUCGGGUGUGAAAGCCCUCAGCUCAACUGAGGAAGUGCGCCCGAAACUGCGGAGCUUGAGUACCGGAGAGGAUGGCGGAAUUCCCCAAGUAGAGGUGAAAUUCGUAGAUAUGGGGAGGAACACCGGUGGCGAAGGCGGCCAUCUGGACGGAUACUGACGCUGAGACGCGAAAGCGUGGGUAGCAAACAGG
rnacentral:rRNA from 1 species